UACAGAGGGGGCAAGCGUUGUUCGGAAUUACUGGGCGUAAAGGGCGCGUAGGCGGCCUGCUAAGUCGAACGUGAAAUCCCUGGGCUCAACCCAGGAACUGCGUCCGAUACUGGUUGGCUUGAAUCCGGGAGAGGGACGUGGAAUUCCAGGUGUAGCGGUGAAAUGCGUAGAUAUCUGGAGGAACACCGGUGGCGAAGGCGGCAUCCUGGACCGGUAUUGACGCUGAGGAGCGAAAGCCAGGGGAGCGAACGGG
rnacentral:rRNA from 1 species